rnacentral:rRNA from 1 species
GACGAACGCUGGCGGCGUGCUUAACACAUGCAAGUCGAACGGAAAGGCCCUGCUUUUGUGGGGUGCUCGAGUGGCGAACGGGUGAGUAACACGUGAGUAACCUGCCCUUGACUUUGGGAUAACUUCAGGAAACUGGGACUAAUACCGGAUAUGAGCUCCUGCUGCAUGGUGGGGGUUGGAAAGUUUCGGCGGUUGGGGAUGGACUCGCGGCUUAUCAGCUUGUUGGUGGGGUAGUGGCUUACCAAGGCUUUGACGGGUAGCCGGCCUGAGAGGGUGACCGGCCACAUUGGGACUGAGAUACGGCGCAGAAUCCUACGGGAGGCAGCAGUGGGGAAUAUUGCACAAUGGGCGGAAGCCUGAUGCAGCAACGCCGCGUGCGGGAUGACGGCCUUCGGGUUGUAAACCGCUUUCGCCUGUGACGAAGCGUGAGUGAAGGUAAUGGGUAAAGAAGCACCGGCUAACUACGUG